rnacentral:tRNA from 1 species
GCCCGUGUAGCUCAGCGGAUAGAGCAAUUCCCUUCUAAGGAAGAGGUCGGGGGUUCAAUUCCCUCCACGGGCG